CACAGGCUUCAUAAAGCCUAAAAAACUUCAGACUGAGAGGAAAAGACCCCAGUCAAGAUGGGUGCGGCUGUUGUCAUCAGCACACAGUGGUGAACCUGGAGCUGUGAAAUGGAGGAGGAGAAAGAGGAAAGGAGCCUGCAUCCCAGAUGACACGACCGAGCUGCUGACCCAGAUCGCAGGACACGAGAUAGUGCAUUUCCCUUCUGUUAAGUAAUUUCUGUAGUUACCGAAUCUGGAAGGAAAACUAAGAGGCCACCAGGCAGGCCGUGUGAUGGAAGGAGUGAGGGGAGAAGGAGCAUCCAUGCAGAGGGAACAGCAUGUGCAAAGAUGAGGGUCAGUGAGGACGUGGUUUGUACAGUUUCAAGGCACAGCAACUGUCGGUUGUGAGAGAUGCUUCUGCUACCACUUCUAUUGCUCACGGCAAGGCAAAAUGUCAGUCUAGAUUCAAGGAGGUGGAGAAAUAGAUUCCACUUCCUGAUGAGAGAAGAAUGAAUGCAGAGUUUGCAACUCGUCUGUUAAAGGGAAUGACAAAGAUGCAAGAAGAGUUAAACUAAAGUUCAUUCAGCUGGCAGUAUCCAAUCCAGUGGUGGGUGGCAGCAGUGCCAGGAAUAGCAUUCAGGCAGCAGCAUUAAUAGUGACAUUUUUUGUUUUUCAGAAUGUUUUAGGGUAGAACCUUGGCCAUAUUUCCAGCUUACCAGUUUCCCUUGUUUUCACCUAUUUUCUGAGCCUGAUUUUUCAGACUUCCCAUUCACUUUGGAGUUGCAUGAUAUCCUUUUAAUAAAUGCCCUUUCUGCUUAAUUUAGCCAGAGGCUGCUUCUGUUGUUUGCCUCUAAGGGUGCUGACUGAUUCUUUGGUCAAUAAGAUAAUCACCAAGGACUGUACAGUAAAAUAAACAAGAUAAUUUACUAAAGAGGAAAUGCAGGUGAUGAACAGCAGAGACCCAAUCAUCAUGGAAGCAGCCCAGAGAUGAGUCACAGCAGGAAGCCACUCCACCAUCAGGGCUGCAGAAAGUGGCAUUGGGAGAGGGCAGAGGAUGGGCACUUGGUGGCAGCUAGAAUCAUGGAGGAGAUGCAGCUACUGAUGCAAAACUGCUUCCUGAAGGAGAGAGAUGGUCAAGUACCCUGCCUUAUCCCUUCUUUUCACUACCCUGUCUCUUGCUGGUGUCUCCCACCGGCCAUAUCCAGCUGGAAGCCAAUUGCCAAUGGAACCAUGGACAGGAAAUGGAUCUGAGUAGAUGGACAAUGACCACCACACAGCAUGAUCUCGACUAGAUAAACAUGAUGCAUGUUAAAUGGUAUUACUUCUGCUGACAGGGCGAUAUAUGGCUUUUAGUUUCCUAUGUUUUUCUGUAUUUUCUAAAGAAACUGAACAAUAUUAUUAAAAUUAAAUAAGUGGAAAGUGUGUUUGUGGCAGAUACAAUAACGUUUUUAAAAAGAUAAUGUGUACGUAGGGAAAGAUGGGAUGUUGUUAAACAACAGACUUUUAUAUGCUGUGUCUCCCCGUGCUCCCUCCAGCUUUAGUCAGUGGCCCUAAAAGGGCUAGUGUCCUGGCUGCAUGGGGCCAGCAGGGGGCGAUCCAGUCUAGCACAAGGCCUUCCUUGACCGGCGGACUGUGGCUGGGAUUUCCUUGCAUUUCAGAGCAGGACCCUAGGGCAGGUGUCAUCCUGUCAGCUAGCUCCUGCCCCCAAGAGGUUUGUCUCUGUCAGCCUCUAACUCAGAGCUGACCCUUCCUCCCAUUUCAGGCAGGCUCUUACCAGGACUCAUGAGAAAGCCAAGCCAAGCACCACUGGCACUCGAGGGUCCUUCCUUGUCCCUUUGGGUGAUUGGCACGGUUGUCCACUGAGCCCAGAGCCUCACUGUGCUCAUUAGGUGUAGCCUAAGGGCACUUGCAUGGAGGUGCCAGUGGUCACUGCUUAGAGCUCUCAGCCCUAGAUGGCGUAUCACAGUUAAUGCUCUAUAAAACCCAUCAUGGCUUUUCCCUAGUAAGCCUCAAAUCGCUGCAAGCAAGGCUUCAUAUAUGAGAGUUUCUGCUGUCUCCUGGAGCCAUCUCACCCAAAGCCACUGACUCUGGGAGACCAGCCCAGGCCACAAACCAGCAAAGCACCAGUUAUAGUUAGAGCUGCAUUAUAAAGUGGCCAGAGGACAUUUCUUUGCAGUGAGAUGUGUAUCGUGAACGUUUGGGGCCUGUGCUCGCCUAGUCCUCAUCUUUGCUUUUCUAGGUACACAAAGCCAUCCCAUGGCUGCAAAUGUUAGCUGGGCUGGGCUCCCUACUUGCCUCAAGCCCCUUCAUAGACCCUUCAGGCACAUGCUUUUCUCUGGACGUUUACAGACAGGUCCUCAGAGGUCAGAGCAGGUUGUCCUAGGGAGCAGGGAGGCUUCCUAGGGAGGUCAGACUCCAAAUAGUGGAUAUGGCAAAAAUGCAGCUGCAGACUCAUGAGGAGUCGCCCUGGGCUGCCACUAGGGCUCCCACAGUGUGCGCUGCCAACCUGCUGCCCGUGCAGAAACUCUAGGGUAAGAGCUGGCUCCUGGAGUCCCACCCAGGCUGCGUGUCCCUCACAGUCUGCUCUGUGUCUAUGUGUGUGUGUUGGGGGGAUAUUAUUGGACAAUUCAAGGGAGGCUCAGUGAGGAGGAAGGAAAAUUUCAUGUAAUUCUUUCUGGUUUGUCUUUCUCAACCCCCUCCUCCUGCCUACUCCUUAACUGAGAGAGUGUACUAUUAUUUGUGUGACCCUUUUUUUCCUCCAAUACACAUAGAAGGUUGUAUAAUUAUGCUUUUCUGUUUUGGAAAAUGACUUAAAAUCAUGUAAAGAAAAAGCUUACUUAGGUGAAAUGUAGAUAAAGAGAUUGUGUCAGCAAAAUAUAAUUCUUAAGGGUAACAAGGGCCAUGGACGCAAUUUUAAUUGUGAAAAAUAAGCAGGAUUUCAUCAAAGUAAACUACUGCAGGUGAGAAAAGUUGAACUGCUGUAAAUAAGCAUUAUCCUGGGCUGAUAAUGCUUACAAAUGUUGAUCCUGAAAAUUCUUCAGGUACCUUUCAGAGCUGAGAGUUGUGCUCUCUGGGGUGACACUCAAAGGAAAUUGGGUCCUUUUUUAAGCAUAAUCUUCUUGGGUUUUUAGUACAUUCUUAUUUUUUAUUGAAAUAUACAAUGAAAAUUCAUCAUAAUACACUCUUACUCCUAAAAGAGAUUGCUGUAUCAUAGGACAUGUGUGCAUAUGAAAUUUUAUAUUUAUGUUGAAAAGUUUUGAGGAGAAAAGAAGAAUCCUUUCUCUAAGUAACUUUAUAGAUUUUGUUUUUAAUUGCACGCAUACAACAAGUUCUCAUUAAUUAUAAAUUCAGUUCGUGGGCAAAAUAUAUUUUCUGUGUGCCCCUUUCUAUAGGAAACUUGCUGGAUUAUUUCUAAUUCUGAGUCUGUAUCUGAGUAAUAAUGACAAUAAGUAAAUGAUCCCAAAUAUAUUUAUAUAAGUAAGAGAUUGCAUUCUAGAACUUAUUUUUUGAAUAAUUUUCUAUAAUUAAAAUGACAAACACUUUUGCAAUCUGAAUUUCAUAGUAAGGAUAAUUCUAAACAAAUUUUGAAAGUUUUGGUUUUAGAAGAAGUUCAAGAACUAUUUGGCUCUGCACGGAGAGCUUACACAAGUUGUAUCUCUAAGCCCUAGCUUCUUGCUAUGCCUUUAUUAACAUACCAGUUUUGGGGUUAAAAACCUACUUUAGAGCUAAAAUAUUUUAUUAAAAAUUUAAAAAACCUACUUUAGAGAUAAAUAUUUUAUUAAAAAUUUAUCAGCCUGGGGGAUAUGGAGUGGUAGAGAGAAUUACUUCCCAUGGCUGCUCCCUUGCACUGUUUGAAUAUUUUACCAAAUGCAUGCAUUGCCUUUCCAAAAGAAAUGGAAAUAUUUUCAAUAAUCAAAUCAGUAAAAUUUCUGAUGCUUUUCAGUUUUUUAUACCUACUUUUGCCUUUUUGAAUAUUCUCAAGAAUGGAACUAGACAAAUGUAAGUGAUAAAUUAGAGAGAAGUGACUUUAACUUAAACAUGCAUCUGUGCCCAGACAUACCCUUGUUAAUUUAUUAAUAUUUUAGACAAUUGUCAGAAUCUAAAGUAUUUCCAGUUCUCAAUCUAGAAUGGCUAAGCUUAUUUUUAUGGUUCUACAUGCCACUUGACAAUAAAAGAUCAUUUAUGAUUCUAAGAAGCAUUUGUCUCUCAAGUGGCAUUGUAAAUCAGUACAAUCUUUUGAAAAGGAAUUUAGUAACACAUUUCAAAGGCCAUGAAAAUUCCACUCCCUGUAAGUGAAUGAUUUCAGUAAAUUUAAAAGUCAAACAUUAGAAGGCAUGCCAUGUUGCCUUUCACAAAAAUAAUUCUGCUACCAUCCCUGGAAGCUGUUGUUAGAAGGUCAUGUUCAAUAAGCUUACAAUGUUUUCCUGAUUGUUGUUUGUGUGACCAUUAAAAUUUCACCAGUAUUGGGGAAUUUUUACCUUUCAGAUCAUUUAGUUCCAACUGUUAGGAAGCAAUUAGCUCUUAUGUUCUUCUGGUUCGUGAAAGUAUUUUACUUUGGGUGCAGGAGUAGGGUCUCUGGGGCCAUGGAAUGAUCCACACAGGCCCUGGCAUGGGAGGGACUGGUUCCAUCUCAAUCUGAAAAUCAGACAAAGGUUUAUUUCUUACUUCUGUUAUGCAAUGUUGGCAGGUUGUUCUGACUCUUUUCCAGUUCCUGAAUAUUACUUGUUGUAUAAUAAAAAUGAUAUUCUAACUAAAAAUUUUAAAGAAAAAAAUUUGCAAUCUUGCAGUUUAAUGCAACCAUAGUCUUAGCAUUUUUGUCUGUGUUCUCUUUUCAAUCUUUGUUUAUAAACAUAUAUGUUUCUACAUAGAGCUGAUUGUAAGAGGUAUAGAAUUCCACACUUUAUAAAUGCCUUGUUAAUUUAUUGUUUUCCAUGUUGUCACAUAGACUUCAGGGGUCUCCUCUCAACUGACUGCAAAUUACUCACUGAGUUGGUGCCCCAUUAUGUCCUCGGUCAUUUCCCCUAUCGUUGAGCAUUUACAACUUUUCUAAUGAUUGACUUUUAAAUUUCUUGAAAUUAUUGAGUUAAAGGGAGCAGAAUUUUAACAACUUUUGUUAUGUGUCACUAAAUCCCUUUUCAAAAGAUUGUACUGAUUUACAAUGCCAAUUAAAUGUUUUACAAGUAUUAUUUUCCAACUAUGUGAGGAUUAUUUUUGUUUAUUUCCAUAUAUCUCUAUCUCUCCUCUCCAACCAGCCAAAAAAUAAAAAUAAAAAUAAAAAUAA
rnacentral:lncRNA from 1 species